AGCAAGCAUUUCUGAACAACGUAAUCUAGUUCACAUAUAAAAUUCACCAUCAAAUCCUGCCUCUUUAAAAAAAAAAGUUUUCUACUUUAUUUCUCUCGUUUUUCAUUCUUUAGUUCAAUACCUGGUUAUCUAAUCACAAUUCACUUUUAUUUUCUUCAGUACUACUUACAAUAAUGCUAAAUUCUCAAUUUACUACCUUUAAAUCCUUCUUAAAUGUCAGUGACAUUUUCCAGGUAUCUAUUUUUUCAAAAGGAACCAAAAUAAGUUAAAAAGUAGACUAUAGAGGACUUUAUUUUUUUUUCUUAUAUACAGUAGAGAAGGAAAAAAUAUCCUGCAAUUUCUUAGGCCAGGAAGAAAGAAACAUACAAUGUGCCUUCAGAGAGAGGCAUGUAAUUUUUCCCCAGGGUAGAUGACUACUCAGAAAAAUCACAUUUCAGGUUGCUUUUGGUAUAAAAAGUCAGAGCUUUCUGCAAACAAGAAAAGUGGAGAACUAAAUUUCAUGCAUAAUAAAAUGUGGAGAAACUGAACCACCGGGCCACAAGCAGUGAGGACGCGGAUGCCCACUGACAGAGGACACCCUGGGGGAAAUUUCAAGAGUGGGAAUAACUCGGACUGUUAAUAAUACUCUAAGGAUCAACUGGUUAGUUUUCUAUGCUGUACAACCCAAACUGCCUUUUUUUUUUUUUUAACAUUUUAUUUACUUAUUUGGCUGCNNNNNNNNNNNNNNNNNNNNNNNNNNNNNNNNNNNAGACAGUAAAGCGUCUGCCUAUAAGGCAGGCCUUAGUGAUGGCAUAAGGGGUCUUUAGUUGCAGCACGUGGGGUCUAGUUUCCUGACCAGGAAUCGAACCCAGGCUCCUGCGUUGGGAGCACAGAGUCUUAGCCACUGGACCAGAGGGAAGUCCCCCAAACUGGUUUUAGAAAAACUGUGCUACAUUCAAGGGCUUUGUGAUCAUGAGUAAUUUGAAGAACCAAAGAAGAGAGAUGUAUUUAUAUCAACCGAGAGUGUACAAAGAUGUCAGAAGACUGAGAGUGCCGAGGAAAUGUGAAAUCAGACCAAGAGGUGGUGGGAAGAAACGCAGAUCCCAAGAAGAACAAAGGCCAGUGAAUUUGGGAACUCCAGGCAACACAUGGUUCUGUAACUACAGCCAUGUGAGAGCUAAUCACUGUGAGCAGUGAGUGUCUUCUGUGCAACAGAAAUGUCAGCGUCUAAUAUUUCACUAAAGCUAAGACGCAGCAAUGCCUUCCGCCUGAAGCCAAAAUGAAGAAAAUACCUUCGAACUAGACAUAUUCUCUUACUGCAGCUGUUCUUAUUCAAAACUAAGGAAUUCAGUCACAAGCAGGUUUGAAAUGUACAGGGAAAAAACAAAUACCUAGAUUUGCAGUUAACUCUUGAUACGUUUUACUGAUUUUUCUCCCAUUUAUGCACUGUUAAGCAGAGUCACACUGCAGUUUUGCUUUGAAAACAAUAUAAACAGUGUAAGAGAAAAAAUAAAACUUAAAGAGGUGGCAAUUGCCAACAGACGAAUUGCAAACGGACAAUAAAUACAUGUUUGAAAGGUCAUUCUCACUGGCAAUUAAAGCAUGAUAUUCAUUCUUCAGUUAAAAACUGGCCAAAAUACAAAUACCGUUUGAUAUCACUUGUAUGCCUAAUCUAAAACACGAAAACAAAUGAACUUAUCUCAAAACAGAAACAGACUCACUGACUUAGGGAACAGACCUGUGGCUACCAGGAGGGAGGUGGGGUGGGGUGGGAUGGCCCGGGAGCUCGGGACUGGCCAAGGCAGACCAUUUACGCAUAGGGACAGCUGAAUCGGUUUGCUGAACUCCAGAAACUGACACAGCACUGUAAAUCAACUAUACGUCAAUAAAAUAAAAAAUA
rnacentral:lncRNA from 1 species